rnacentral:rRNA from 1 species
CACGUAGGGACCAAGCGUUGUCCGGAUUCAUUGGGCGUAAAGAGCUCGUAGGCGGCUCAGUAAGUCGGGUGUGAAACCUCCAGGCUCAACCUGGGGACGCCACUCGAUACUGCUGUGGCUAGAGUCCAGUAGGGGAGUGUGGAAUUCCCGGUGUAGCGGUGAAAUGCGCAGAUAUCGGGAGGAACACCAGUGGCGAAGGCGGCCUUCUGGACCAAUACUGACGCUCAUGCACGAAAGCGUGGGGAGCAAAUAGG